rnacentral:misc_RNA from 1 species
GAUGAAGAACGUAGUGAAAUGCGAUAAGUAAUGUGAAUUGCAGAAUUCAGUGAAUCAUCGAAUCUUUGAACGCACAUUGCGCCCGCCAGUAUUCUGGCGGGCAUGCCUGUCCGAGCGUCAUUUCAACCCUCGAACCCCUCCGGGGGGUCGGCGUUGGGGAUCGGCCCUGCCUCUGGCGGUGGCCGUCUCCGAAAUACAGUGGCGGUCUCGCCGCAGCCUCUCCUGCGCAGUAGUUUGCACACUCGCAUCGGGAGCGCGGCGCGUCCACAGCCGUUAAACACCCAACUUCUGAAAUGUUGACCUCGGAUCAGGUAGGAAUACCCGCUGAACUUAAGCAUAUCAAUAAGCGGAGGA